rnacentral:rRNA from 1 species
GCACGAAUGGCGUAACGACUUCCCAACUGUCUCAACCGCGAACUCGGCGAAAUUGCAUUACGAGUAAAGAUGCUCGUUACGCGCAGCAGGACGGAAAGACCCCGUGACCUUUACUACAGCUUGGUAUUGGUGUUCGGUGUGGCUUGUGUAGGAUAGGUGGGAGACUGUGAAGCGGACACGCCAGUGUUCGUGGAGUCAUUGUUGAAAUACCACUCUGGUCACUCUGGAUAUCUAACUUAGGACCGUGAUCCGGUUCAGGGACAGUGCCUGGUGGGUAGUUUAACUGGGGCGGUUGCCUCCCAAAAUGUAACGGAGGCGCCCAAAGGUUCCCUCAACCUGGUUGGCAAUCAGAUGGCGAGUGUAAGUGCACAAGGGAGCUUGACUGUGAGACUGACAGGUCGAGCAGGGACGAAAGUCGGGACUAGUGAUCCGGCAGUGGCUUGUGGAAGCGCUGUCGCUCAACGGAUAAAAGGUACCUCGGGGAUAACAGGCUGAUCUUGCCCAAGAGUCCAUAUCGACGG